CUGCUUUCCUAAACAGUCACGUUGCACGGGCAAAAGCCAACCCUCUUUAUCUAGUUGAUGUCAGUGUUACUCAAAGUCUCAGUGUUUCUGAGAGGAGAUGUUCUAGGAGGCCUGGAGCAUGGACGAAAAGAUGGCCCCCUAGAAGAUGGUCUUCACAUUUGGCAGGAAAGGCAAAUUUAAAGCUCUCUUGAUCCAUAAACGAGUCUCUAAAAACAAGUGAGGCUUUGGAAUAACAGCCACCAGAUUUGGGGAGUCAACGGGCAUCCGGCAUCUUGAAUCAGUGUCUUUCUGAGGCAAAAGGAAAAUAACGCACCUACCGUAUCUUGAAAUGAAAGCAGAACAUCGUUUGCUGCAAAGCUAUAGCUUAAUGUUUUCAGUGCAACAUGGAUCCCUUUUCUCAACCUUCAUUCAGGAUGUCCUGACUACAACUCCCUCUUCAAAGCUAAAUGGCAAUGACAGCAGAGUCCAAAUGGAUGAUUAAUGCCUAAACCCUAAACUUGCCUUGGAUCAUACGACUGUUUCAGUGGAGGAGGAGACCGGGGGUGACACUAAGCAACAACUGAAAAAAUUUUAAGCUGCUGGCAACAAAUUGGGGCUCACAUGACCAGGCUUGCUCCCUGACAUCCCGUCCCGCUUAGUGCCUGGGAGACUUUGUCAUGGACAGCAGACGCGUCCCCUCAGACUCCAAGUUCACUUUCCUGUGUUGCUAAGCCUUCAUCUUAACGGCGGUCACUUUCCACAUAAAACUGAACGAGUGUC